UCAAUAUUAUUUUGGUGAGUUUAUUUUUAUAGAGUGUUAAAAAUAAUUUAAAACGCGCUAAAAUGGGAUUAAAACACUAGAUAAAAUGUCCGGUAAUCAGUAAAAUACCAGUUUUUGCCCAUAUAUAUGUGUACAUAUGUGUAUGUACGCGUUUAUAUCUAUAUGGGGGUGUGUGAGUUGAGAAAGUUGGCAACCAUGCAAGGGUUUCUUCUCUCUCUCUCUCUUCCUCUUAUUGGUCUAAAUGGAGGUGGGAGAUGACACAUACAUUAAAGCUUUCAAAAUCUUCCACAUUUCAAGACUUGUGUCUUUCAAACACAAUAACUCACUCUCUCUACAAUUUCAGCCAAAAACACCUUCAUCUCUCACAUAAUUUCGAAAUUCUUCACUUGUUUAUGAAGACUAAAGUUCAAUCCAAGAAGGUUUCAAGGUGUUUUGAGUAUCCAAAAGUGUUUUCUUGGUGAAACAAACUUCAAACCAUCAAGAAUCUUGUUAAACCCACUAAAAACUUAAAAGGUACUUGAGUGCGGCUUCGGGAAUUAUGGCGUAUCUUGUGUUGUUGAUGCAUGUUUUGUCACUUAAAAUGUUGGACUGAUUUUUAAACUUUCUGGGACAAAUGUAAUAAGAUCCGCAAGGAUAAAAGACAAUUUAAUUAUGCCG